GACGAACGCUGGCGGCGUGCUUAACACAUGCAAGUCGAACGGAAAGGCCCUGCUUUUGUGGGGUGCUCGAGUGGCGAACGGGUGAGUAACACGUGAGUAACCUGCCCUUGACUUUGGGAUAACUUCAGGAAACUGGGGCUAAUACCGGAUAGGAGCUCCUGCUGCAUGGUGGGGGUUGGAAAGUUUCGGCGGUUGGGGAUGGACUCGCGGCUUAUCAGCUUGUUGGUGGGGUAGUGGCUUACCAAGGCUUUGACGGGUAGCCGGCCUGAGAGGGUGACCGGCCACAUUGGGACUGAGAUACGGCCCAGACUCCUACGGGAGGCAGCAGUGGGGAAUAUUGCACAAUGGGCGGAAGUCUGAUGCAGCAACGCCGCGUGCGGGAUGACGGCCUUCGGGUUGUAAACCGCUUUCGCCUGUGACGAAGCGUGAGUGACGGUAAUGUGUAAAGAAGCACCGGCUAACUACGUG
rnacentral:rRNA from 1 species